UUCCCUUACCUGCCGAAUGUCCCUAGGAGGUCAUAUACCAGUUAAACUGCCCCAUUUUGCCUCUUAGUGUACAUUGUGAGCCCACUCAACCAGUUCCUGAGAUACUACUGGGAAGCUGCUGAUCACCAGUUUCAGGUUUUUUCCAUCUGUUGGGAAACUGCCUAUCCCUUGUGCUCGCUGCAACCAAUUAUUAUUUUAGGGAGACAGUUAACCGCCUGACCAUCACCCGAUGAUCGCCUGAUGUUCAUGCAUCCAUGACUACAUAAACUUUUUGGCCGUUUGACCAAAUGGGGACAUCUGGCAUACUGCUAUCAACCAAUAUGCCCUGUGUUAGAUGCUGCACAAAGAUGAAUAAGUGUGAACAGCUGUCAACUAUUCCAAAGUUGUAGCUGCUACAGCUGCUAUAAAAGGCAGCGAGUCUGAGGCUGCCCCAGGAAUCAGGAGGUGUUGUAUAAGAGGAGAACUUAGCUCUGAAUGGACUAGUAUACCUGAUCACCAGCAGCAGUUAAAAGAAGUGACUUUCACUCUCCGGCAUGAUUCUGAGGCCUCCCCAGCCAUGUGGAACUGCGGAGUUUCGCUCUUGUUGCCCAGGCUGGAAUGCAAUGGCGUGAUCUCGGCUCACCGCAACCUCUGCCUCCCAGAUCUUCAACUCCAGAGAACUGAGUUUAAGGAGCUGUACCUGGGAAAUUGUGCCUGAAGCUGUUCCUGAGGAAUCUGCACCUGGAUCUAAUGUACAUGCUGAGAUCCUGGAUUUGAGCUGAUGCCAUAGUGGGAUGAGACUUUGCCGUCUUGGGUGUGGGAUGAAUAUAUUUUGCACUGGGAAGGAUGUGAAGUAUUGUGGUUAAAAGGUGGACUGUAGUUCAUUGCAUUUUUCAACAAUGGCCACAACAGCAUCUCUUAUCCUAUGUGCUCUUCUUCCAAUGUGACUGUGUCCUCUCUCAUUAAGAUGCGGAGUCUAUUUCUCCACUCUCUCAAAUCUGGUGGACCCUGGGACUUCUACCAACAGAGUACAGUGGAAAUGAUGCUGGGCCACUUCCCGGUUUGGUCUUUAACUAGUCUGGCAGCUUCUCCUUUCUGCUUCUUGGAAGCCAGUAAGAAGUACAACUAUCCUGAGGCUUCUGCUGUGAGAAGCCCAAGCCAUGGGAGAGGCUCUGGAGAAUGAGACUUCACUGGGAGAGUGAAGAGAGGAGCGAAGAGAAAGAGAGAGGCACCAAGGAUCACUGAGUUGCCAGAACAUGAAUGCUAAGGCCAUAUUGGAAAUGGAUUCUCCUGCUUCAGCUGCCCCAGCUGAUGCCACCAGGAUCAGAGAUGAUCUGGCCAGCUGAGCCCUUCCUUAAUUCUAACCCAUAAAAUUGUGUGCGAAACAAAAUGGUUGUUUUCAACCACUAAGUUUUGGGGUAGGUUUUAUGCAGCAGCAGAUAAUGGAAAUACUGCUUGGUUUUGACUUUCAAAAAAAUCCAUUUGUUUUCAGGCUUGUCUGCACUCCUUCUUUAAGAGGUGCUAAGAGACUGGACUUAGUUCUUUGUCCAGAUAAAUGUGUUUUUCCCACUGCUAGCUUAGGUUUUAUUUUUUUCACGUCUGCUAAGUCAGUAGUCCAUUUGCUUUUCAGCUUCCAAAACUUAAUUAUUCUAAUUUUCCUUAUUGUUCUCUUCCUUGUGGAUUUAUGCAUUUUAUUUGCUCCUUUCUGUAAUUUUUGUGGUAUUUGGCAAACAGUGAAGGUAAAUAUACACAUUCAAUCUGCCACAUUUAACUG
rnacentral:lncRNA from 1 species